GCGAGAGUGGCGGAACCGGUAGACGCAGACGACUCAAAAUCGUCCGCCGCAAGGCUUGGGGGUUCGAGUCCCCCCUCUCGCACCA
rnacentral:tRNA from 1 species